UACGGGGGGAGCAAGCGUUGUUCGGAUUUACUGGGCGUAAAGGGCGCGUAGGCGGCCAGCACAAGUCAGUUGUGAAAUCUCCGGGCUUAACUCGGAAAGGUCAACUGAUACUGUGCGGCUAGAGUGCAGAAGGGGCAACUGGAAUUCUCGGUGUAGCGGUGAAAUGCGUAGAUAUCGAGAGGAACACCUGCGGCGAAGGCGGCUCUCUGGGACGGUACUGACGCUGAGACGCGAAAGCGUGGGGAGCGAACAGG
rnacentral:rRNA from 1 species